rnacentral:rRNA from 1 species
CAGCAGCCGCGGGAAUACGUAGGGUGCAAGCGUUAAUCGGAAUUACUGGGCGUAAAGCGUGCGCAGGCGGUUUUGUAAGACAGAGGUGAAAUCCCCGGGCUCAACCUGGGAACUGCCUUUGUGACUGCAAGGCUGGAGUGCGGCAGAGGGGGAUGGAAUUCCGCGUGUAGCAGUGAGAUGCGUAGAUAUGUGGAGGAACACCGAUGGCGAAGGCAAUCCCCUGGGCCUGCACUGACGCUCAUGCACGAAAGCGUGGGGAGCAAACAGGAUUAGAUACCCCAGUAGUCCCUGUCUCUUAUAC